AUUUCACUCAUUUGCCCGCAGACAAUUAUUCCUUCCAUAUCUUUGAGUGGCAAUUUUUUUCAAUCUUCAUUACCUCUGUUGGCAAUAGUUUUUUUUUUUUUGGUUGAAUACUACACUUAAUAUUUGCAAAAAUAACUUUUGUCUGGGAUGUUCUCGACAUUGUAUGAGUUUUGGUUUGACGGAAAGAUGGUGAAGAGCUUAACACACACGAGUUCUAGGAGUGUGCUUUGACAGACAAACUUUGAUAGCAUUGUUGAUCUCAAGUGAAGGCUUUGUUUGAUGUGCCUGAAUAUUUUUGCUUAAUUCGCAUAAAAGGAUUUUCACUUGGGACAAGUAGCAACACUCUUUCUUCGCUUGAAUUGCUAGGGACUAGCAACACGCUUGUUGGGGGUGUGAUAGAGUGAAUAAGAUUACAUUUUCAAUGCUGAUUGCUCAUGAUUAUUUGCUAAUAUACAAGUAUAUUUGGGAUUAAUAAUGAUAUUUUUAUAUAGUUGAGUGAAGGUCAAUCCUAAUUGUGGUGUUUACAAUUUUAUUGUAGAAAUGGAGCCCAAAAAUAACAAAGUUCAAGGCCCGUAAGAGAGGACUCAAUUCAAGUGGACUUAACCCAGCCCAAUCAAAAUAAAAUAGAUUGGAAAGAUUAAUGAAGGGAGCAAAAUCUGUGGAAGACGUCUCUUGCUGUGAAGAAAUCCCGAAUUGGAAACACAUUUGUACUGCCCUUUGUAUUUUCACCAUAUCUCCCUCAUCCGAUGUC
rnacentral:lncRNA from 1 species